rnacentral:rRNA from 1 species
ACAAGCGAAAAGCUUAAAACUCAACGGACUUGACGGUGUUCCACACCGACCUAGAGGAGCCUGUCCUAUAAUCGACACCCCACGUUAAACCUCACCCCACCUUGAUAAUCCCGCCUAUAUACCGCCGUCGUCAGCCUGCCCAAUGAUAGACCCAGAGCAGACAAAAAAGCACUUAACCCACUAAAACGUCAGGUCAAGGUGUAGCUAAUGGUGGGGGCAGAGAUGGGCUACAUUCUCUAACACUAGAGAACCCACCAUAAGCGACAUGAAACAUGCGCCCAAAGGCGGAUUUAGCAGUAAACCACGGCAAGACAAGCCAUGUUGAAAACCCGCUCUGGAACGCGUACACACCGCCC